UAGGGAAUAUUGCUCAAUGGGGGAAACCCUGAAGCAGCAACGCCGCGUGAGUGAUGAAGGCCUUCGGGUCGUAAAGCUCUGUUGUACGGGGCGAAUGCUCUCUUGGCUAAUAUCCAAGGGGGUUGACAGUACCGUAUAAGAAAGGACCGGCUAACUUCGUGCCAGCAGCCGCGGUAAGACGGGGGGUCCUAGCGUUGUUCGGAAUUAUUGGGCGUAAAGCGUGUGCAGGUGGUUUGGUAAGUUAGGUGUGAAAUCCCCGAGCUUAACUUGGGUAGUGCACUUAAAACUGCCAGACUUGAGUAUUGGAGAGGGUCGUGGAAUUCCUGGUGUAGUGGUGAAAUACGUAGAUAUCAGGAGGAACACCGGUGGCGAAGGCGGCGACCUGGCCAAAUACUGACACUCAUACACGAAAGCGUGGGGAUCAAACAGG
rnacentral:rRNA from 1 species